rnacentral:rRNA from 1 species
AGUGAACGCUGGCGGUAGGCCUAACACAUGCAAGUCGAACGGCAGCACAGUAAGAGCUUGCUCUUACGGGUGGCGAGUGGCGGACGGGUGAGGAAUACAUCGGAAGCUACUUUUUCGUGGGGGAUAACGGAGGGAAACUUACGCUAAUACCGCAUACGGCCUACGGGUGAAAGCAGGGGAUCUUCGGACCUUGCGCGAUUGAAUGAGCCGAUGUCGGAUUAGCUAGUUGGCGGGGUAAAGGCCCACCAAGGCGACGAUCCGUAGCUGGUCUGAGAGGAUGAUCAGCCACACUGGAACUGAGACACGGUCCAGACUCCUACGGGAGGCAGCAGUGGGGAAUAUUGGACAAUGGGCGCAAGCCUGAUCCAGCCAUACCGCGUGGGUGAAGAAGGCCUUCGGGUUGUAAAGCCCUUUUGUUGGGAACGAAAAGCAGCAGGUUAAUACCCCGCUGUUCUGACGGUACCCAAAGAAUAAGCACCGGCUAACUUCGUG